rnacentral:rRNA from 1 species
CCAAGGAGUCUAACAUGUGCGCGAGUCAUGGGGUUGUAAACCCAACGGCGUAAUGAAAGUAAAGGUCAAUUCGGUUGACCGAGGUGAGAUCCCUGUAAGGGGCGCAUCACUGUCCCAUCGCAUCUACUUGUUAGAGCGGUGGAGAAAAAGCGUACACGUUGGGACCCGAAAGAUGGUGAACUAUGCCUGAGCAGGAUGAAGUCAUCGGAAACGGUGAUGGAGGUCCGUAGCGGUUCUGACGUGCAAAUCGAUCGUCAGACUUGGGUAUAGGGGCGAAAGACUAAUCGAACCAUCUAGUAGCUGGUUCCCUCCGAAGUUUCCCUCAGGAUAGCUGGCACUUAAACGCAGUUUUACCCGGUAAAGCGAAUGAUUAGAGGCCUUGGGGACGAAACGACCUCAACCUAUUCUCAAACUUUAAAUGGGUAAGAAGUCUCGCUUGCCUGACCGAAGCUCAGACGUUGAAUGCGAGUGCCAAGUGGGCCAUUUUU